rnacentral:rRNA from 1 species
GACGAACGCCGGCGGCGUGCCUAAUACAUGCAAGUAGAACGCACAGUUUAUACCGUAGCUUGCUACACCAUAGACUGUGAGUUGCGAACGGGUGAGUAACGCGUAGGUAACCUGCCUGGUAGCGGGGGAUAACUAUUGGAAACGAUAGCUAAUACCGCAUAAUAUUAAUUAUUGCAUGAUAAUUAAUUGAAAGGUGCAAUUGCACCACUACCAGAUGGACCUGCGUUGUAUUAGCUAGUAGGUGAGGUAACGGCUCACCUAGGCGACGAUACAUAGCCGACCUGAGAGGGUGAUCGGCCACACUGGGACUGAGACACGGCCCAGACUCCUACGGGAGGCAGCAGUAGGGAAUCUUCGGCAAUGGACGAAAGUCUGACCGAGCAACGCCGCGUGAGUGAAGAAGGUUUUCGGAUCGUAAAGCUCUGUUGUAAGAGAAGAACGGGUGUGAGAGUGGAAAGUUCACACUGUGACGGUAUCUUACCAGAAAGGGACGGCUAACUACGUG